GAUGAACGCUGGCGGCGUGCCUAAUACAUGCAAGUCGAGCGAACGGACGAGAAGCUUGCUUCUCUGAUGUUAGCGGCGGACGGGUGAGUAACACGUGGAUAACCUACCUAUAAGACUGGGAUAACUUCGGGAAACCGGAGCUAGUACCGGAUGAUAUUUUGAACCGCAUGGUUCAAAAGUGAAAGACGGUCUUGCUGUCACUUAUAGAUGGAUCCGCGCUGCAUUAGCUAGUUGGUAAGGUAACGGCUUACCAAGGCAACGAUGCAUAGCCGACCUGAGAGGGUGAUCGGUCACACUGGAACUGAGACACGGUCCAGACUCCUACGGGAGGCAGCAGUAGGGAAUCUUCCGCAAUGGGCGAAAGCCUGACGGAGCAACGCCGCGUGAGUGAUGAAGGUCUUCGGAUCGUAAAACUCUGUUAUUAGGGAAGAACAUAUGUGUAAGUAACUGUGCACAUCUUGAUGGUACCUAAUCAGAAAGCCACGGCUAACUACGUG
rnacentral:rRNA from 1 species